CUCAGUAACAGAUACAAACUCAUCACGCACGUCAGAAGCAGCCUUAUGGCCGUCAACAUACAUAUCACCAUUAUCGAACUCAACGCCCUGCAUACGAAAAGACAGAAUCUCUUCCAAGAGCUUGAUGCGGUUAUCCAUCUGCUUAUGGAAGCCAAGCAUUGGGGAUUGAGAAAGAGUAGAAAUGCCACAAGCCUCAAUAGCAGGUUUAAGAGCCUCGAUACGCU
rnacentral:rRNA from 1 species